UACGUAGGGUGCGAGCGUUGUCCGGAAUUAUUGGGCGUAAAGAGCUUGUAGGCGGUUUGUCGCGUCUGCUGUGAAAAUCCGGGGCUCAACCCCGGACUUGCAGUGGGUACGGGCAGACUAGAGUGUGGUAGGGGGAGACUGGAAUUCCUGGUGUAGCGGUGGAAUGCGCAGAUAUCAGGAGGAACACCGAUGGCGAAGGCAGGUCUCUGGGCCACUACUGACGUGAGAAGCGAAAGCGUGGGGAGCGAACAGG
rnacentral:rRNA from 1 species